GACGAACCGUGCGAACGUUGUUCGGAAUCACUGGGCUUAAAGGGCGCGUAGGCGGCUCAUCAAGUCCGGGGUGAAAGCCCCCAGCUCAACUGGGGAAGUGCCUCGGAUAUUGGUGAGCUCGAGGGAGGUAGGGGCGGAUGGAACUUCCGGUGGAGCGGUGAAAUGCGUUGAUAUCGGAAGGAACGCCGGUGGCGAAAGCGAUCCGCUGGCCCUCUACUGACGCUGAGGCGCGAAAGCCAGGGGAGCAAACGGG
rnacentral:rRNA from 1 species